AAUGCACAAGAUUUGCAAAGACUAGGUGAUAGUAGAAGGUUUGGACGAACUUUCAGAAGGUUGAGGUGAAUUCAGCUGAGAAGAACAGCUAUGUUUCCAGUGUCCUCUGGGUGUUUCCAAGAGCAACAAGAAAUGAAUAAAUCUCUG
rnacentral:lncRNA from 1 species